rnacentral:rRNA from 1 species
AAAUUGAAGAGUUUGAUCAUGGCUCAGAUUGAACGCUGGCGGCAGGCCUAACACAUGCAAGUCGAACGGUAGCACAGAGAGCUUGCUCUCGGGUGACGAGUGGCGGACGGGUGAGUAAUGUCUGGGAAACUGCCUGAUGGAGGGGGAUAACUACUGGAAACGGUGGCUAAUACCGCAUAACGUCGCAAGACCAAAGAGGGGGACCUUCGGGCCUCUUGCCAUCAGAUGUGCCCAGAUGGGAUUAGCUAGUUGGUGAGGUAACGGCUCACCAAGGCGACGAUCCCUAGCUGGUCUGAGAGGAUGACCAGCCACACUGGAACUGAGACACGGUCCAGACUCCUACGGGAGGCAGCAGUGGGGAAUAUUGCACAAUGGGCGCAAGCCUGAUGCAGCCAUGCCGCGUGUAUGAAGAAGGCCUUCGGGUUGUAAAGUACUUUCAGCGGGGAGGAAGGUGUUGUGGUUAAUAACCGCAGCAAUUGACGUUACCCGCAGAAGAAGCACCGGCUAACUCCGUGCCAGCAGCCGCGGUAAUACGGAGGGUGCAAGCGUUAAUCGGAAUUACUGGGCGUAAAGCGCACGCAGGCGGUCUGUCAAGUCGGAUGUGAAAUCCCCGGGCUCAACCUGGGAACUGCAUUCGAAACUGGCAGGCUUGAGUCUUGUAGAGGGGGGUAGAAUUCCAGGUGUAGCGGUGAAAUGCGUAGAGAUCUGGAGGAAUACCGGUGGCGAAGGCGGCCCCCUGGACAAAGACUGACGCUCAGGUGCGAAAGCGUGGGGAGCAAACAGGAUUAGAUACCCUGGUAGUCCACGCCGUAAACGAUGUCUACUUGGAGGUUGUGCCCUUGAGGCGUGGCUUCCGGAGCUAACGCGUUAAGUAGACCGCCUGGGGAGUACGGCCGCAAGGUUAAAACUCAAAUGAAUUGACGGGGGCCCGCACAAGCGGUGGAGCAUGUGGUUUAAUUCGAUGCAACGCGAAGAACCUUACCUGGUCUUGACAUCCACAGAACUUUCCAGAGAUGGACUGGUGCCUUCGGGAACUGUGAGACAGGUGCUGCAUGGCUGUCGUCAGCUCGUGUUGUGAAAUGUUGGGUUAAGUCCCGCAACGAGCGCAACCCUUAUCCUUUGUUGCCAGCGGUCCGGCCGGGAACUCAAAGGAGACUGCCAGUGAUAAACUGGAGGAAGGUGGGGAUGACGUCAAGUCAUCAUGGCCCUUACGACCAGGGCUACACACGUGCUACAAUGGCGCAUACAAAGAGAAGCGACCUCGCGAGAGCAAGCGGACCUCAUAAAGUGCGUCGUAGUCCGGAUUGGAGUCUGCAACUCGACUCCAUGAAGUCGGAAUCGCUAGUAAUCGUGGAUCAGAAUGCCACGGUGAAUACGUUCCCGGGCCUUGUACACACCGCCCGUCACACCAUGGGAGUGGGUUGCAAAAGAAGUAGGUAGCUUAACCUUCGGGAGGGCGCUUACCACUUUGUGAUUCAUGACUGGGGUGAAGUCGUAACAAGGUAACCGUAGGGGAACCUGC